GUUCCCAAAAUAAUCUCAUGGAAAGAGAUGAUUGCUCCAGUUAUAACACUGCAUACCCAUUUCAGCUGGCAGAAAGGGUCCCUGAGUGUCGAAGCAAAAAUUGCACCCGACGAAGUUAAAGAGAUUUUGAAAGGGGCCCAGAACAAGAGAAGGAUCUGCAACAGGUUGAGGC